CUUCGGGGUUAGUGGCGGACGGGUGAGUAACACGUGGGAACGUGCCUUUAGGUUCGGAAUAGCUCCUGGAAACGGGUGGUAAUGCCGAAUGUGCCCUUCGGGGGAAAGAUUUAUCGCCUUUAGAGCGGCCCGCGUCUGAUUAGCUAGUUGGUGAGGUAAUGGCUCACCAAGGCGACGAUCAGUAGCUGGUCUGAGAGGAUGACCAGCCACAUUGGGACUGAGACACGGCCCAAACUCCUACGGGAGGCAGCAGUGGGGAAUCUUGCGCAAUGGGCGAAAGCCUGACGCAGCCAUGCCGCGUGAAUGAUGAAGGUCUUAGGAUUGUAAAAUUCUUUCACCGGGGACGAUAAUGACGGUACCCGGAGAAGAAGCCCCGGCUAACUUCGUGCCAGCAGCCGCGGUAAUACGAAGGGGGCUAGCGUUGCUCGGAAUUACUGGGCGUAAAGGGCGCGUAGGCGGACAUUUAAGUCAGGGGUGAAAUCCCAGAGCUCAACUCUGGAACUGCCUUUGAUACUGGGUGUCUUGAGUGUGAGAGAGGUAUGUGGAACUCCGAGUGUAGAGGUGAAAUUC
rnacentral:rRNA from 1 species